ACGACAAGAUCAGUCACAAUUAAGUUCACAAUACAACCUUUUCAUUUUGCCAGUUCAUUCGUUUGCCUAACUGUUGGUGUAACCAGCUCUGCAUUGCAUGGGAUUGGGAGGCACUGGGACACGCUAAGAUGCAAGAUCCUUGGCUUCCUCAAGUGCAUAGUGAAGUACAAGUUCUGGGACGUCGUCUCUGGCACUCUUUAUGUUGUUUUGAGUGUUUUAACACCUGGUAAUGUGGUUGGAUCUGUUUUAAUCUGA
rnacentral:lncRNA from 1 species